CUAAAAUAUCUAAACUAUCUUCUAAUCCCUAAACCACACCUUAAUUAACUAUAUCCUAAUUAACUAGACCACACCUAUCAACUACACUGUAAUCUAAUUGAUAUCACUUAUACACUACCGCACAAAUCCAGCAACAGGCUGAAGGAAACAAACAACCGAAACAAAAAAAAGAGAAAAGUGCUUAAUGGAUAAAUAGCAACACGUUUUCAACCACCACGACUCCGUUUCACCACGAACCUAGGUUCCAUCCCCGUUCUGCCGCGCCGGAGUUCUUCACCGACGGCAACGGAACUCCUACAAACACGACCUCCACACGGCCAAACUCACUGCGAUUCCCUUAAUCCAAAUCCCCUGUUGAUCCAACCUAAUCUCUAUUCGAAAAUGCAAACCGAAGCAAAAGUUCUCACGAACCCUAGAUUGAAUAUUCCCAAAUCCGGUCCUCAUACGGAGGUAAUCGAGCUUGCAAGUUUGGAUUAUCUCUACUGGAUCCAUAUUUGCACAAUGAUAAUCAACGCGAGUAAAAUCGGUGGAGUUUCACAUACCUUCGUCGUUGACGGUGACGCAUGCGGCGGACGGCGUUUGGAUACUGAUGCGGUACAAAACAAUCGCUUGUCUACUCUCCUAUUCUUCGUCUACUCCAAUCUUCCUCGCCGUUCCCUGGUACUUUGAAUCGUGGCACUUACGUAUCUUGACUUGUAAUCGUGGAAGGCGCGGUUCGAUUGUUGGAUUCGAGAAGAUUCACUGAAGCAAGGGACACCAUGGAUUGAGGACGGAAUCAAGGUCCAGCAAGAACAACCGAUGAAUUCGCCGGCAAAGAUGACCGAUGCAACGACGAGGUUAGCGGAAGCUCGUCUCAGAGACUGAGGCGGAGUGGAUUCUAGCUCAACCGAUCAAAGCUUCAACGUGGAGCUUUGAUGGCUUUGUCUCAGAGCUUUGGUAAGGGUGGAAUGGUGGUGAGGAUGCGGAAUAGAAGAUGGAAACUGGAAGAAGCAGGUUGAGAGUGAUGAUUGAAGAGGAGUUCUUGGAGGGGUUCACGGUGGUUGAAGGUUUAUUACAGGUGGAAGAAGAAGCUGGAAAAGUUUGUUAGAGGUUGAAGGAUUGAGGGCAAAAACGAUUUUGGAAUGAGAGGGAAAAUUUUCUGAAACCAAUGAUUGGCAAUGAUUGCAGCUUAUAUAGCAGGAUCUAAGGGGCAAAUCGGAGAAUUAAAUCUGAAAUGAUUCAAUCUGCACCAUCCAGCUGGCAUUAAGUGAAGGACACAUGCUGUCAUGGAAUUGGUAUUGCACAUCGUCCGCUUUGCACUACAGCGGUCAAGCCAAGGAUUACAAAGGUUAGGCUUUGAAGCCUCAUUGCCGGUUGCAUUCGGGUUGAGAUGGCCUUGCUGCAAGCAUCGUGUUCCCAUAUGAUGGCAGGGCUCGGAGCAAUUCAGUCUCGGUUCCAAUUGCUGAUUACUCGCAAAGGAUUCUCGUAAGGUGACUCAGUUGUAAGCUUUUCAGCAAAAGCAGACGUAGCAGUUUCAAACUUUCUUCAACAGGACGCCAUCCAGGUCGAAUGGCAUGCUGGACAAGACGAAGGCUAAGUGGUGCGUAUCCGGAGAAGACAUGAACAACAUCAUUGGGGGGUUGGCUGUAUCGGUAUCUUCAACCACAAGCUCCAGAGUACAUUUUAUAGCAGCUUGGCGCUCAUGCAAUUGAUUCAAGGAUCAUGAUGGUGUUUGAAGGCCCGAUUAGUGAUCGAGACUAACGGCAUAGCAGGUCUGCAACCAGUAGGUAAUCGCUGUCAUUCUGCGACACGACUACGACCUUAGGUUCAUGGCCCGCACAGAUAGGAUGCGUUGGGUGGUGGGAUGGUUUUGCCAGUGUGUAUUGCAAUGCUGACUUGGUUGUCGGAAUUGCGGCGUUUAGCUCAGUUCUGAAGCUCUGUUAUUGAGGUGGUCGGCAUUCCGGACAAAGAGCUUUCAGCUUAUCCUGUGGCAGCUUGCGGUUCUCUCGGCAGCACUGGCAGCUUAUGCUUUCCCUUUUUUAAUUCCUUGGCUCAUGUAAACCACUGUUUGGAUAACAUAUCAAGGAUUGCAUUAUGUAACGGUUGGGAUGGCAUUGACUUAAUUCCCAUGGUACUGUUUCAGUGUAAUUUGAAGAAUUAGGAUAAAAUAGAAUGAAUAUGUAAUGCUAUUGUCAUUAGUAAGAAUGGUUAUUUGAAUUUGCUUGUAGAAUUUUGAUAAUGGUUUUGGAAUGUAUGUAAUAUGGCAAUGUUUGGAAUUUGGUUGUACAAUUAUGGAUGAAAUGAAUGUUAUGAAUGAAUGCUAUUGGCGA